GGGCACCGAAGAAGCAAGCCACAACCCCAUGGCACACCCUGCAAGGGGGACAAGGGAACUUUUCCCGUUUCAUUACCACAUGUGGCUAUUGAGCAUUGAAAUGUGGCUAGUCUGAAAUUAGAUAUGCUACAGGUGUCAUAUUUACACCAAGGUUUGAAGACUUGAUAUGGGAAAAGGAAUGUAACAUAUUCCAUUAGUAAAAUUUAUAUUGAUUACAUCUUGGAAUCUAUGUUUUAGAUAUAUUGGGUUAAAAUUACUCAAUUACUAAAAGUAAUUUCACCUCUUUUUUUUUUUUUUUUUUUGAGACAGAGUCUCACUCCGUCUCCCAGACUGGAGUGCAGUAGUGUGAUCUCAGCUCACUGCAACCUCCACCAGUUGAAGUGAUUUUCUUGCCUCAGCCUUCCGAGUAGCUGGGACUACAGGUGCAUGCCACCACACCUGGCUAGUUUUUGUAUUUUAGUAGAGACAAAGUUUCAUCCUGUUGGCCAGGCUGAUCUUGAACUCCUGACCUUAAGUGAUCUGCCCGCCUCAUCCUCCCAAAGUGCUGGGAUUACAGGCACGAGCCACUGUGCCCAACCCACCUGUUUCUUUUUACUUUUUAACACAGCUGCUAGAAAAUUUCGAGUAAUGCAUGUGGGUGACUCACAUUAUAUUUUUUGGAUAGCAUAGGUCUACAGAGCAGCUAGCGUAAAGAAGGAAAGAGAAAGGGGAUCUUGGAGCUCUUCUAAAACCUGGGAUGUCUCUGCCUGUUAAUAAGAAGAGUGACAGCUUUCACAGUGACUCACAACUUUCAGGAUGCUCUGAUUCUGGGCAACGUUUUUUGAGAAGCUGGACACACUGGGCCUGAGGAGCAUCUUUGGUGCUCUUGAGUACAAGUUUCUGAUAACUUUGGAGAUUGUGACAUCAGAAUAGAGGAAAAACUUUUAGGACUCAUGGAGAAGUGAAAUGUUCAUGAACAUCAGGCAGAACAGGAAUUAACUGCAUGGACAGAACUAAUACAAAACUGAGGCUGACAACAAGCAGAUGAAGAUACCAUUGAAACAGUGCCACCACUCACCCAACUGUCCUGUCAGUCAGGAAAAGCACAUCCCCACUGGGUCUCAGAGCUCUCGGCCCGUUGUCUUUGCACUGUGUGACCACACACAAAACCAGGUAAAGUAUUUACCUGCUUUGUUCAGGAGGCUGUCCUUGGCUCUCUAGUUUCUGAUAGGACCCCAUUUUAAACUCUCAAGCCCCCUUGUCCUUGUUCUUUGAUAGUGUCAUAGCCUCUAAACAUAUCACAAUUAUUAAUAUAAUUAAAUACUUAUUUCCCUAUAGAUUUGUUUAAAGCCUGCCUUCCCCCAAGAGAUGGUCAGGUCUGAAGGCAGGUUUGUUACAGAUGACAGGCUCUUGGGCUCAUCAUGUAAUAAAAGUUAACAUGGGGACAAGCAGAUUUCCAGAAAAGGCUUUUAUCUUGGGGCUUGUGCUCGAGUGCAGGGGAGACACCAGAGGUACAAGGACCCUCAAGCUGACUCCCUGAAAAGGUGGUAGGGAUUUUUUUUAUUAGGCAAACACAGGAAUUGGUAUCAUGGGUAGGGUAUGCAGGCUGGCCUGGGCAAAGCACGUGACGGGUAGGGGAUGCUGGUUAGCGUAUCUAGUUGUGAUGGUUAUCUUGAGUAAUGGGCCACCUGGGGGUCUGGCCAGCUGUAACAAGGCUGCAAAUCAAUUGUUCAGGGUUCCUUCCCUUCCCAUGAUGGGACAUUCUGAAACCUCGGUUUGAUGUUUAGAUUUCCUAAGGCCAGUUCCUGGAAUUCUUUUAAGUAAAAGGCAUGAUUAAACAUUAUGAGAGCACAGAAGAAUGGCUAUUUUCUUUGUAAGCCUGAAGCCUUAUCUAAAACCAAUUGUCAGCAAGGCAGGGGUGUGGGUCUUGUGAUCAGUGAGACAAGAAGAAAAAAAAAAACGUGAAAAAGGAACUGAGUUCCUUUUCUAUUCUAUCUGAGGUUACUCCCCACUGCACCCCCGGCACCUGACAUUGUGAGAGGCAUUUGAACCAGAGUGACUCCAUCUUGAAUAGGGGCUGGGUAAAAUGAAUCUGAGACCUACUGGGCUGCAUUCCCAGGAGGUUAGGCAUUCUUAGUCACAGGAUGAGAUAGGAGGUUGGCAGGACUGGUAUCACAAGAUACAGGUCAUAAAAACUCUGACCAUAAAACAAGAUGUGGUAUAGAAGCCAGCCAAAACCAAGAUGGUGAGAAAAGUGACCUCUAGUCAUCCUCACUGCUCAUUAUACUCAAAUUAUAAUGCAUUAGCAUGCUUAAAGAAAUUUCCACUAGCACCAUGACAGCUUACAAAUGCCAUGGCAGUGUUCAGAAGUUACCCUAUAUAGUCUAAAAAGGGGAGGAACCCUCAGUUCCAGGAAUUCCCCACCCCUUUCCCAGAAAACUCAUGAAUGAUCUACCCUUUAUUUAGCAUAUGAUCAAGAAAUAACCAUAAGUAUACCCAGUCAGCAGCGCGUGCCGCUGCUGUGUCUAUGGAGUAGCCAUUCUUUUGUCUCUUUUACUUCUCUAAUAAACUUUAUUCUAUGAAUUUGCCCCCAAAUUCUUUCUUGCGCAAGAUCCAAGAACCCUCUUUUGGGGUCUGGACUGGGACCCCUAUCACCAUGCCUGGCUCAAGAAACAUUUGUUGAGUAAUGAUUUAUAGUGACUUUCUAUGUGCUCAUGUCUCACUCUUGUUCCAGUACCUGUAUGCUAAGCAGCCAUGCUACUGUCCUUCUGUGCUUCCCUACAUUCCAAGUUCAAGGGGACAGGAUGGUUUAUUGUUUCUUAAGUGCUUGUCUUUCUGGUCCUGUUUACAUGCAUCAUUAGCCCACAGGAAAGCACUCUGUUACAAAUGACUUUAGAAAUCACAAUCAUUAAAAUUGAAAACUUCCAUUUAAGCCAGACUACCCCUUUGUGAUGUUAAAAGUGUUGCCUCUGAGCUUCCAACCCCCUCUCUAUGAGGCCUAUUCCAGCUUUUAACCUACCGUGGGUGCGGGCUUUUCAUUUGGAGCCUCUUGUGAUCUUCAAGCUGUAAUUUUCGCAAGCAGGGCCCUAAAGCUCUUUAAUUUUUUUGUUUACCAGAAUUACUCAUUUCAUUUUUGUAUGUGCUUGGUAGAUGAAUUUUCUGUGGCAUCUUACAAAAUAAGGCCAUAAUACCUUAUGGCAUUAAAAAAAAGUUGGGGGGGGAGCAAAACCACCACAAAAAAAUUAACUGAACAAUUAAAAUAUUUAAAUUAGUAUUAGAAAGCUUAAAUGUAGGCAACAACUAAGUCAUCUCAAGCACAUUCAACAGGAAAAAGUAGAAAACAUACUAGAUAAGAACGUCAGAGAAUGGGGCAAGGACUGGGGGAGGUGAAGGAGGUGCAGAGCUGGAUCCUGUCUUUAUUUGAAAAUUUGAUUUUGUGUUCAAAUGUGAAUUAUUUCAUUUUGAUUUUUUUUUUUUUUUUUUUUGAGACGGAGUCUUGCUCUUGUCGCUCAGGCUGGAGUGCAAUGGUGCAAUCUCAGCUCACUGCAACCUCCGCCUCCCGGGCUCAAGCAAUUCUCCUGCUUCAUCCUCCCAAGUAGCUGGGAUUACAGGCACGGGCCACCAUGCC
rnacentral:lncRNA from 10 species